UUUCCGUAGGUGAACCUGCGGAAGGAUCAUUAUUGUAUAACCGAGUUCCGAGGGCUUUCGCUCACCCGACAUGUCGUGCACGCCCGAGUGCCCGCACACACAACAAUCGCACCCCUCUGUGCACCACCCCUAGGGUCUCCCUUUGUCUUUUACGUCGGGGGACUUACGUUUUCACACAAACUUUUUAAACAGUGGAUCAUGUGUUUUUUGUUUUUGCGAUCACGCAGGCAAUACAACUUUCAACAACGGAUACCUUGGCUCUCGCAUCGAUGAAGAACA
rnacentral:misc_RNA from 1 species